UGGGUGCCGGCGUCCUCAGACGCUCGCGGAAAUCAAAUGAUAAGGCGGGAGGGGCCCCAGCCCCCGCCUGGCGGCCGACGCCCACUCCGCCCUGAAAGGUAUGCAAUGAGAUCACCAAAAUUGUUUUUCUUCCUGAAGAGAGCUAAACAAAGCUCGCAGCCUUUCCUGCAGCUAUGUGGGACUGUGCGAUUGAAUCCUGACGAAUAGAAUGUAAGCAAGGUGAUACAGAUGACUGCUACCAUUGGUCCCUAAAACUACCCUUGCAUUCUCAUGACAUUGGCCUUUCGUCUCUUGUUAGCUGCCAGCUGGACACAAAGAAUCUAGCAGAGGACUCUGAGGCCCUGGAUGAUAGCAGAGACAUUACGUAGAAAGAAUCUUUGCCCCUGCAUGGGAAGACCACCCUUUACAACCUAUUCAUGAACUUGAAAUAAGCAGUGACUGCAGUGUUCUGCUGGUAAAGCUACUGAGAUUCAGGGACUGCUUCUUACGGCGUCUAGCUUUACUCACCUGAAUACACCAGCUGAUUCUAAAAUGGCCUAAUAACUACAUUUGGAGAAACCACAUCAUACAAAACUAUGAUGAAGCAAAUGAUUCACUCUGGUGACAGUUCCCCAGCUUAUAAGAAGGACUCAAACGGCAUGAUUCCAAAUAUGGUAGCAGUCCAGGUGAAUGCAAGGUUUGGGUAAGGACCUCUCUAAUGACCUCUUACGAAUGUCGCCACCUCAACAAAAUAUGCUUGGAAGUUA